AGAGAAGAUGCAAAAUCCAACGAGGAGCAGAAGGCUGGUGAUCCCCCCCAGCACCACAGCCAGAAGCUUCGGCCAGGCGUGGGUCAUGAGCAGCCCUGUGAAGAGGCCCAUGUGGGGAGAGACCAACGCCCCUGGCCGGCAGCCGCCUGAGGGAACUUUUUCACCACCAGGUCCUCCAGCCCAGCCCAGACUUCAGAUGCCUACAGCCCUGGCCCAAAUCGUGGCAGAAACCCCCGUACGAGACCCGCACCAGAACUACUCGGCCAGGCUGCUUCCGGAUUCCUGAACUUGUCCUGCAAGAGAGAGAGAGGUCACCUUCCUCUCACCACAAACGAUCUGCAGCCCUUAAGUCCCUCCAGGCCCGGUUCUCCCUCUGCAUUGACUUUAGAGGAGUGGGAGAUGGAGAAAGUGGGCAGUGCGGCUUAGAGACUGAACAGAGGUCCCAGGGUCCUCACAGCCACAGAGGGGCUGAGACCAGACACCUUCCCCAAGACUCGAGGGAGGAGAAAAGUGACGAAGCCCGGGAAGAGGCAGCUAAGGCACUGUGGUGUCUCUGUGUGAUCGGAUCGGAUCUGGUGUUGGUGUGCAACUCUGUGUAUCCGAUUCCACGGGGAUGGAAGUUUUCUGGGUGAGUAGAUCACCCUGGGAGGGUGUGUCCUUUCUGGAACAGGGUUGGGACAGGAGAGAGGUUUGGUGCUGGGUGGUUGGCCUGGAGGGACGCUCAAUUCCCUUCUCCCUUUAUGGGGAGCGCACAACGCUUGCCCCUCUCACUCCAGCUAGGUUUCUUCAUGCCACUUCGCUGUCCUCAUUUCUCUGCCACAUGGUCGGCAUGGCAUUUCUACUACCUGGUGGGCUUUCCCCUAUAUCCUGGGCCUGGAGAGCCAGGGGAUCGUCAGCUUCUCUCUGGGGGCCCCAGCGCCAGGUCUGCACGGCCCUGGCCUGCCUGAGUUUCUCAUCGGGGCUGAUGGAGGGAAGGAGAGUGAGUGCCAGGGAGGGAGGGAGUCUACCAGAGGCCAAAGUCCAAGGGGCCGGGCCCUCUCCUCCCCUGUCUGGUCCUGUCCUCCUGGUCACUGUCCUUCCGUGAUCCCUUUUCCAGGAGGGUAUGUGACCUAGGUCUUGUGCUAGGCUGCUCUCUGGCCUCAUUUGCUCAACACGGGCACACACACUGACACGGGCUGACACUGAUUCACACACACGGCUACAGAGGGGCGCCCACGCGAUCCGGGGACACACGGCCCGGUGUUUGGGCAUUCUGGCACACACUCUUGAGACAGCACAAGAGCACAGUGGAGCCACACGGCACUCACAAAGCAGCAACACGAUUCCAGAACAGCUACGUCUCCACACGCACACAUGUAACUGACACGGGCAGUCCCACACACUCGCUGGAUUUCAGACAUACAAAGACACCUACUCAGGGAAGUCACAUGCCACCGCACAGCCCACCGGAGGGCCGCUCAGCACACCUUGUCAGAUCUCACACGCAGCCCCUGUCUCCCACUGCCUCGAAUCCCAUUGGUUCCCCCUUUCACUUCACCGGCCUCCAGGAGACCUCUGUGACCUCCUCAGCAACCACCCCCCACCCAAGGUCGGGCUCCCAGCCCCCAAACCCUGGCCGAAUUAAUUUCCCCAAGCGACACUCAGCAGGUUCCCUAGGGAAAUUAGAGAAAGGCUGGAAGAGAGGCAAGGCCGAAGGGAUGGGGCCAGGGAGGGAGCUGACGGGAGCAAGGGCGGCGCGAUGCAAUGCCAUGCAAUGCUGGGCCCCAGCUUUUUCGAAGGCUGUUCCCGGCCCCCUUCUGGUUUUUAGGAAUUCAAGAUUCUUUAAGCGUGGGGGGAGACGCUGGAGGAGGGCUAUGGAGACUAAGAGAGCUGAAGGCCAGUGGACGAAAGAUGGAAGAAAAGGAGGGAAGGAGAAAAUAGAGGCAGUAGCUGUCGGAGGAGAGAAGCAAGAGACUGUCGGGCCUCGAGGGGAGGGGCCGAGAGGAGCAGCCUCCCAGGAGAGUCCUGUUUACACCGGAGGCUCUCAAACCGCUUAGCGGAGGAAAGUCUUGGAAGGAAGAAGAGAAAGAGCUCUAGACACCUAAAGGCAGAGGAUACCAGGUAAUGGGAAAAGACCAAAGGAGGAGGCUAGAAGCUAAGCUGCAUCUCCUAUGCAUCUCUGCGGAAGGCUGGACAUGAAAUGAGGAGGGAGAGGCUGGAAGGUAAGGCCCACUCUUCCUUGAGUCUGGGCUGCAGAACUCUCCUGGGACAACUCUUGAUCACAUGUCAAAAUGCUUUUGUUUGGGAGCAAGAGGAAAAGGGGCACUUGCAUGGCGGCAUGUUUAGAGAUAGAGCAUCUGGAAGAUAAAAGAUUUUACUAAGUCUCUUCCCCAGAAAUAUCAAUGGAAAAUACAUUUUCUUUUUUUUCUGUCUUUGGCUUUAGCUUUGCCAGUCUGCCAGCUUCUAAUUUCUCUCUGUUCCCCUCUGUCUCCACUAUCGUGUUUUUCCUCUUUAAUAAUGAUCAAGUCCAAAGAAACCUGAGAAGCCCCACUCCCACCACCUUUUCCUGAGUCACCAGGGACCCCCUUCACCUUCUUCCCCAGGGAAGUGCUGGGGAUGGGAACAAGUCUCUCACUGUCGGGCCCACAGACGUCAGGCCCGCUAACGUGGCUAGCGGCCAGUGUAAAGAACCAGGAGAGCUGGAGUCUGGAGGGGUCCAGUCUAAAGUCCACCCGGGACAGUCCAAAUCCCCUGACACCCAGGGGGAGGGCCCUUCUCUCCAGUUGGGCCAGAUUUUAUGCAAGACAUUUAGUAUGUCAAAGUGUCAGUCUUUGGCCUUCGAGUCAGGUCUCCUGGGCCUGUCUGCAACUCUGCCCCUGGGUGAGCUUGGUUAAUGGAGCGCUCCACCCCUUUCUUCUCCCAAACGUUAGACCCUUGACCUACCUACCUACUUGACUCGAGGCAAGAAAAGAUCAGUGCGGACUGGGA